UAUCCAACCUGCCGUCUACUCUUGGACAGCCUUCUGAAAGGAAGAUUAAUACAAGAUGGCAUCAUGAGUCCGCAUGUUCACAUGAUUAAAGGUAUUCCGGUAGACGAUGGGGAUGCGUUCCAUUAGAUAGUAGGCGGGGUAACGGCCCACCUAGUCUUCGAUGGGUAGGGGUUCUGAGAGGAAGGUCCCCCACAUUGGAACUGAGACACGGUCCAAACUCCUACGGGAGGCAGCAUG
rnacentral:rRNA from 1 species